UGUCACCGUCUGUCUGUGUGUCUUUGUUUGAGGAGGGGUCUACAUGUGCAGAAAUGGCCUAUUUAUUGCCUUUGGGGGGUUUGACUGGAUUCUUGUCUAUUGGUAACAACUGUAUUCACCCUCUAAUAUAGGAUUUGAAAGAGAAUGGCCACAAUGCUUUUCUUUUUUCUAAACCCUUAAAAUUCUAAAGCAGAACCAGCAGUAAGGGUCAGGCAGUGGGAGUUAAGUGACUUGCCUGGGUCACACAGCUAGGAAGUGUCUGAGGUCAGAAUGGAACCCAGGACCUCCCAUCUGCAGACCUCAUGCUUUCCUCCCUGAGCCACCUAGAUGCCCCUUUGUGGCUCUGUGAAGGUGAAACCAGGUACUUACUGACCCUGAAAGAGACAUCUGGGGUGGAAUUGGGGAAAGUGUUUUUGAUCCCACUCGACCCACAAAUGUUAACUUCUGUCGGUUAGGUUGAUGUUUGCAAAGGCAGACAGUUUGUGGCUUCUAGGCCUUGGGGGGCUGCCAAAUGUUUUCCUCCGGACAAUCUCUGAUUCCUUCAAUGAGCACGUGUUGGAGGAUUCCUUUGGGCAAGGGCCUUGUUACCCAGAUCUCCUCUGCCAGAGCUAACUUAGAGUAGCCAGUGUGCAUUGGGAGUUGGCACACACUGCCCGCCUCUCUCCAAGACUGGGCAUCGCCCUUCUGCACGCAAUCCUGGGCUCGCUUUGAGUAUAAAAAGCACCCCUAGAAGGAGUGCUGCAUUGGGCCAAGGGCUGUCUUAUUCAGGGGAGUGGGGGUCUGUAAGGGGCCUUAAAACAGCACUUACUGAUGCCUGCAGUGUUCUGAGGCUGAUCAGUGCACAUUUAUGAAGCUCUUCCUGGGUGCCAGCCACUGUGCUAAGCUCUGGAAUACCAGUAAGCAAAAGGCAGGCUAGCACUGGCCUCGGGCUUAAAUUGAAUGGGUAAGACCAUACACGAGCAGAGGCUGACCAGGGCAUGCCAGCGGGCACCUGGCCCAGGGGCAGGACCGAGCAGGUCUGCUGAUGGGAAGUGGAACGGGCUGGGCAAUUCAAGCCCUCUCCAGAGGGAGACUUGGGGGGCAUUCGCUGCUGUGCCUCUGAUGACCCGAGUAGUGCAGAUCGCCACAGCGAGUGGGGCCCCAUUGGGCGAAGGUGACCAGGGAGUGGGCGAGCAGGCUUCCUUCGGUGUCCGGCCCUCUUCCCUCUGCCCCUCCCCUCCCCGCCCCCCGUUGGUCCCCUUGCC